UGGGGAAUAUUGCACAAUGGGCGCAAGCCUGAUGCAGCCAUGCCGCGUGUAUGAAGAAGGCCUUCGGGUUGUAAAGUACUUUCAGCGGGGAGGAAGGGAGUAAAGUUAAUACCUUUGCUCAUUGACGUUACCCGCAGAAGAAGCACCGGCUAACUCCGUGCCAGCAGCCGCGGUAAUACGGAGGGUGCAAGCGUUAAUCGGAAUUACUGGGCGUAAAGCGCACGCAGGCGGUUUGUUAAGUCAGAUGUGAAAUCCCCGGGCUCAACCUGGGAACUGCAUCUGAUACUGGCAAGCGUGAGUCUCGUAGAGGGGGGUAGAAUUCCAGGUGUAGCGGUGAAAGGCGUAGAGAUCUGGAGGAAUACCGGUGGCGAAGGCGGCCCCCUGGACGAAGACUGACGCUCAGGUGCGAAAGCGUGGGGAGCAAACAGG
rnacentral:rRNA from 1 species